AACGAACGCUGGCGGCAUGCCUAACACAUGCAAGUCGAACGAGACCUUCGGGUCUAGUGGCGCACGGGUGCGUAACGCGUGGGAACCUGCCCUUAGGUUCGGAAUAACUCCCUGAAAGGGGUGCUAAUACCGGAUAAUGUCUUAGGACCAAAGAUUUACUGCCUUUGGAUGGGCCCGCGUUGGAUUAGCUAGUUGGUAGGGUAAAAGCCUACCAAGGCGACGAUCCAUAGCUGGUCUGAGAGGAUGAUCAGCCACACUGGGACUGGGACACGGCCCAGACUCCUACGGGAGGCAGCAGUGGGGAAUAUUGGACAAGGGGCGAAAGCCUGAUCCAGCAAUGCCGCGUGAGUGAUGAAGGGCUUAGGGUUGUAAAGCUCUUUUACCCGGGAUGAUAAUGACAGUACCGGGAGAAUAAGCUCCGGCUAACUCCGU
rnacentral:rRNA from 1 species